rnacentral:rRNA from 1 species
AGAGUUUGAUCAUGGCUCAGAAUGAACGCUGGCGGCGUGCUUAACACAUGCAAGUCGCACGAGAACUCUUUAGCUUGCUAAAGAUAGUAAAGUGGCGCACGGGUGAGUAACGCGUGGGUAAUCUGCCUUCGAAUCGGGGAUAACAUUGCGAAAGCGAUGCUAAUACCGGAUAAUAUCCCAAAAGCUUCGGAUUUUGAGAUCAAAAGUGGCCUCUACAUGUAAGCUUCUGUUUGAAGAUGAGCCCGCGUACCAUUAGCUUGUUGGUAGGGUAAUGGCCUACCAAGGCAACGAUGGUUAGCUGGUCUGAGAGGAUGAUCAGCCACACUGGAACUGGAACACGGUCCAGACUCCUACGGGAGGCAGCAGUGAGGAAUUUUGCGCAAUGGGGGAAACCCUGACGCAGCAACGCCGCGUGAGUGAUGAAGGCUUUCGGGUCGUAAAGCUCUGUCAAGUGGGAAGAAACUGUUUGAUGUUAAUACCAUCAGACAUUGACGGUACCACUGAAGGAAGCACCGGCUAACUCCGUGCCAGCAGCCGCGGUAAUACGGGGGGUGCAAGCGUUAUUCGGAAUUAUUGGGCGUAAAGAGCGCGUAGGCGGUCUUUUAAGUCAGAUGUGAAAGCCCGGGGCUUAACCCCGGAAGUGCAUUUGAAACUAAGGGACUUGAGUAUGGGAGAGGGAAGUGGAAUUCCUGGUGUAGCGGUGAAAUGCGUAGAUAUCAGGAGGAACACCGGUGGCGAAGGCGACUUCCUGGACCAAUACUGACGCUGAGGCGCGAAGGCGUGGGGAGCAAACAGGAUUAGAUACCCUGGUAGUCCACGCAGUAAACGAUGAACACUAGGUGUAGCGGGUAUUGACCCCUGCUGUGCCGAAGUUAACGCAUUAAGUGUUCCGCCUGGGGAGUACGGCCGCAAGAAUGAAACUCAAAGGAAUUGACGG